UGUGCGCCUCCUUCACAGCCGAGGCAGAGAGAGCUCCACCUCUUCCUGGCCCCCAUGGAAACCCACACCUGACACUGUCCUAGCCCCAAGGGGCUGUCCCCUCCUCAGCACGCCAUAACUUUCACCAGGUUCAACUCCUUCGGGGCCCUGCAGGCAGCACUUCAAGUCCCCGUCACACUUCUGAAGCGGGGAAUUUUUCUGUGCAGCUGCAGGGGAAUCCCGCAUCUCAGGAAAGCCAGAUCUGUGGGCCUUCCUUACAAGAAGAAAUGAAAAUGCCUGAUUUUAUUACAUUUGCAAUGAAGUAAAUGAUGAGGACACAAGUAAUUCUGUAAAGGACCAUUCAGGAAGAAAUGAAAGCAUGUGGUCACAGCAGGUCCUGAGGAGAGUUCAGCAUGAUGCAGUGAAGAGGAAGGACUGAGCACAGUCAUGACUGUUUGAAGAAGAAGAGAUGGAAUCCCCCCACUGGAUCUGGAUGUGGAGCCGGGAUGCUUGCUGAGCACGCCCCAGGAGAGGCUGAGGAGAGAUCAGCUCUUGGUCCAGGUCUGCAGGUAGAACAGGAGAGAGGCAGGAUCAGACUUUGGGAGCUGGAUCAGACUUCAGGCAUUCUGACUGCUCAUUGCCAUCUGGGCUUUUACUACUCACCCUGAAGAGGUGCACCAGAAAAACUGCAGGAGGGAGAAGAUGAGUCCUAUGGGAAGUACAUUUCUCUUUCUAAACAGUAAGAUGAAAUGGCUCAGGUUCAGACUCCCAACUUCAUGUACAAGAAUCUCAGCAAUUUCAUUUUCAGUUGUUAAUAAUUUUUAUGUUUCCUCAGUGGAAAAAUGCUUAAAUGUAAUUUACAUUCAAGCCACCAAAAGGUUAUAAACAAUUCCCAGGCUGAAGGCUGCCAAACUAUGUCAAUUCAAAAAAACAGCAAGACAAACAUAGGUAUUCUUGCAAGAAGUACUGUUCACAAACCUGCAGUCCAAGGAAAAUGUGCCACAGAAAUGAAACAGUGGGGAAAAACCAGCCUAUUUCCUUCAAGGGCAGUGUAAAUACCUCUGGAAUGUGUGUAGCCUCCAUUAUGUAUUUCAGGGUGACCUCCUUCUGGGGUUCGCAUUUUCC